rnacentral:lncRNA from 1 species
UAAUCCAAUUAAAAUUUUAUUAAUUAUAGCAAGUAGAAUAUGAGCAAAAACAGCGCUGGACGACAGGGGAGUCUGCGCUCCGCCACUGCCGUGCUGAGCAGUUCAAACAGUCCCUUUUUAUACAUCUUUACUUCCGUGUUCAUGAAGUAGUGGAGGUACUCUGCGCGUGCUUCAGUUGUUGUUAGGGGGUCGUUUUCUACCUCCUGGUGGUCGUUGAGGCCGAAAUAAGAAGUCUUUCUCCUUUAUCCCAUAGUUGACCCCUCAUUCACAUGUCCUUAUCUGGGGUUGUUUGUCCUGUUUCUGUCGGUUCCUGGAAGUCUGGCGGUUAUCUCGCGAUUGUGGUUAUCUUAUCUUACUCAAGCAGUGUCCGGGUUUCUGUUUGCAUAAGCGAUUUCACAUCUUUGUUGCCUAACCUUUACAUUGAGCUUAACAUAAAUCUUAAUAAACAAUAUCCUAGUCCAUAGUUUCUCACAAUCCCCCCUUUUUCUUUUUAUCCUAUUAUUGUUUAUUAGACGUUACUUUCAUUUUCGGCACUGCGAACAAACCUUUUUCCACAAUCCCAAUAUUUAUCAUAACACUCACAAGGUAAUACCUCACAAUUACAAAAGGCAUAGUUCCCACGUGGCAUAAUGUAUUCACAGCAAUCUUCAUCUUCAUUAAUAGAUACACUCUUAUAUUUUGCCCCAGACCUCGUAGUUAAAAUAAGCAGUUUAGCUAUGUCAAACCGUUCUUUAAUAAAGUGUAUUUUAUGUUUGUUAUUGUCUAGUUCAUAGGUUUAUGAGGGUUUCCAUUUGCUUGGGUUAUUAUCAAUAACAAAACUAACGGUAUACCAGAAAAAAGGGUGUCUGUUAAUUUUGCCAAUUUAAGUAUAUUUUUACCAGUCCUGGGGAAGUUCGGCCAUUGCUGCUUUUGUGUCCCAUCGUUCUGGUUCUUUUCUCCACAGUUUGUUCCUCCUCUGCCUCGCCCGUCGACUCGGUUGCUUCGAGCCACGGGGUGUACCAUCUUCUCGGCAGCAAGGGAAUUCUUCAGGAGAACAGUUGUUUCGGGCUUUCUGCCUGUUUAUAUAGGCUUCCCACUUUGCAGCUUUAACUAAUGGGGCAAAGUAAGACACGGUCAGUACUUCCCUUCUGCAUUUUAUAACCAAAAUUUCAGCUACAAAGGGGACUGGUUCGUUGGAGUGGUAGCAAUAAUAUUGAGGGUUUAUUCCUUUGGCAAAAAUUUCCCACCACUCAUGGGAUUCCCGAAUAAUUUCUUGUUUAGACUCUAAUUGUUUUAAUUUCCACUCAGUGAGAGUUCUUUGGAUUUUCCAACACUGUGUGCAAACUCCUAUUGGAGGGUAUCCACAUUCACAAUGUGUCUACCAUUUAUCCUGGCAUACCUUACACCUAAAACAAGCAAAUGGAUAACAAUUGCAGUUCAAAUCAUUACACCCACCUAAUUCGUAUAUCUAGAGUGCAUAUAUUAUUUACAUCAACAUAUCUUCUAUAUUUAAUAUUGUGAGGUUGCAUAAGUUUAGCAAUUUCCUUCAACACACUUUGUACGCUUCCAUAUAUAAUAGAAAAAAAGAGAAAUAAUUAUAGCAAAUAUAAACAGCAAUACACACUUUAUACCAAAAGGUAAUGCGGCAAAAUAAUCAAAUAAAGUCUUUAUCAUUACGUUAUCUUUUCAGGGUUAUCUUGGUGUCACCUGGAGUACUGAUUACUUUCCAGUGGGGUCUCGUCACUGGGCCUUUAAUGCGACUGGCAUGAGUCCAUCCACGCUCAGCAGUUCGGACAGCUGUUUCUGUUGUAAGCAAAACAAGAUAAGGUUCCUCCCAAUUGGGUUUUAGGGUUUCUUCCUUCCACACUUUAAUCAAUAUCCAAUCCCCAGGUUUAACAUUAUGAAUUUUUAAGUCCAACGGGGGUCGUUGUACAAUCAGUCCAUGUUCCCAAAGCUUGUUACGAUGUUCUGCUAAUUGUGAAACAUAUUCAUUAAUCACACGGUCUCGAAUUAAAACAUUUGUUUGUGGACUUUCAAUUCUAUAAGACAUUCCAUACACCAUUUCAAACGCUGAUAUUCCUACAUCUGCUCGGGGUCUGGUUCUGAGAAUUAAUAGUGCCAUGGGUAGGCACUUAAUCCAUGAUAAUUUGGUUUCUAUCAUUAAUUUAGUCAAAAUAGUUUUGAUUUCUCCAUUUAUCCUUUCAACUUUUCCCGAACUUUGUGGAUGCCAUGGUGUAUGGUAUUCCCACUUAAUCCCCAAGCUUUCAGCUAGAUCUUUAACAAUUUUUGACACAAAGUGUCUUGUGCUAACAAUCGAUCAAUUUCUGGUUUUAAUCCCCUCCGUCCUUCUAGGGAUAUGGGAUAUUGCCUUACCCUCACAGGUAUGUGGGGUUCGGAAAGUUGGAUUUUAAUCGGUGGGAUUUUCAGUCUACUAAUUGUGUCCGGAGAGUACCAGACAUCGGGGUUAAUUUGUUUUUGAUCAUCCACGGUUAAAGGAUAAGCAGACACUGUUAGCUCCUGAUUUUUCACUUUAAUUUCUAAUUGCAAUUCAACAAUUAAAUCUCGUCCUAACAGAUUAAAUUCUGCUUCAGGGACGAGCAAGAGUUCACCCAUUCCAAAUUUAUUUUCAGUUUCGAAUACCACAUUUUUGAUUUUGCUUACUUUAAAGGGUUCUCCUUUUGCCCCAAUUACUUGUACCUUUUCAGGGGAAACUUUAC